ACUCAAGUUGUGCACCUGCUGUAAAUAUGGACGUAUAGUGAUUUGUAGGUUUUAGGUGAGCUUUUAAUGAGUAGGAAAGCUCAUAAAGGACCUACACACAUGA